ACGUGCGAUCAUACCAGUACUAAUGCACCGAAUCCCAUCAGAACUCCGUACUUAAGUGUGCUUGGGCGAGAGUAGUCCGAGGAUGGGUGGCUUCCUGGGAAGUCCUCGUGUUGCACCUC
rnacentral:rRNA from 2 species